rnacentral:rRNA from 1 species
AGAGAUAGAGGCGUGCUCGAAAGAGAGCCGUAACACAGGUGCUGCAUGGCUGUCGUCAGCUCGUGUCGUGAGAUGUUGGGUUAAGUCCCGCAACGAGCGCAACCCUUGUCAUUAGUUGCUACAUUCAGUUGGGCACUCUAAUGAGACUGCCGGUGACAAGCCGGAGGAAGGUGGGAUGACGUCAAGUCCUCAUGGCCCUUAUAGGUGGGCUACACACGUCAUACAAUGGCUGGUACAAAGGGUUGCCAACCCGCGAGGGGAGCUAAUCCCAUAAAGCCAGUCGUAGUCCGGAUCGUAGUCUGCAACUCGACUACGUGAAGUCGGAAUCGCUAGUAAUCGUGGAUCAGAAUGUCACGGUGAAUACGUUCCCGGGUCUU